GGACCCUUCCAGGGGUCCCUCAAGGGGGCGGGGAACAGAAGGGGGUGGUUGGCUCUCCAGGCACCACCAUGUUCCAGAGUCAGAUGCUAAAUUUAACUUGGCCUUCUAGGACAUGACAAGGAUUUACUUGUCAAGGCAGAAAGGUAGAAGCAUUUGAUCUAACAGUUUGUUCAUCUGGCCGGUAACUUUCAGUGUUUAAACAGAUGGUAUGUGGGCUACCAUUCGUAGUCUUGUCCCGGAUCCCACAAAAAUGGGGUGGGGCUGCCCACAUCAUCCACUGCUUGCUUUCUGCAGUGUUCUCCAAAUGCUGGGUGGGGAGUCCUGGGGUCCAUCAUCUACCAAGAGAGUUCUCUAACAGAACAGAAUAGGAGGCUUUCUUUCCCCCCGAUUUGCCAAACAAAAUUGAGAUAAUGGAUAGAAUUCUCGGAAUUUUAAAUUUCAAUUCAGUGUUCUUUUUCUAAAAUUUUUUGGUGCCUGUUAUUGCUUAUCUGCCAGCAGUGGCAAGCAAAUGAGAUAAACCAACAAGCAGAUGAAGAAAACCCAUACACACAUCGUGGUCGAUGAAAAUCAAGAGAAAACUUGAAACAUGUUGACUCUCAUGAACCUGACAGUGUGGCUCUUUCACGCAUCUGAAUCCUCGUGGUCGUGAUUUCAUGUGAACAAGUGAGAAUGUGCUACGAUGAAUUAUUGUCACCGGUUUCCAGGAAAGAAGACAGAGGCGCAGCAUAUUCAACUGGCCCAAGGUCACCCAGCUGGGAAAGGAUGAAGGAGGCGUUUGAACAGGUCUGAAGGAUCCCCCGUAUCACCAGGCCUCCUGGGGGGACAGGAUGUAUGAUCUAAUGAGGUAUAAAAAUGGUUUCUCCAAAUGCCCAGAGGCGGUUGGUAAGAAACUCUAGGGCUCUUGGUCGACUGUCCACUGAGUCCAUACACUGAACCUCCCAAUAUUUAAAACAUCAAACGAAUGAGUAUAAACCUCAGUAAGCACUGCAUUUGGCAUAAGGAGUGACUUGCGUUUUGUUUUGUGUGUCUAUGUUCUGGGAAGCUCUCUGAGAGUAUUUUCCUGAGUCACUGUUGUUAGAUAUAUUCACGUCCCCUAGUCAGAGCACAAACUGUGCCUGGAAAGUGCAGUUCUUGUCUUGGGUGUUAUCUUAGCCAGUCCUCAUUUAUUAUCUUAAUUAGUCCUGCUUUGGAGUGGCCAAUCUUAUAUCCAUUAAGCUUUCGAUAAAAGUAGUCAGCGGGGUUGGUGCCAGUCUCACUCUUCAGAAUCUGAUUAAGUUUCAAACUUAUACGUGAAUUCUUUUGUGUGCGCUGCGUUAAGGAAGGUUGACUUCGAGUAAAAAACUUCCCAGGC